GGCUCAAAUCUGAGGUAAGGGAGAUCAGUAAGGUCUGAGCUUAUCCUACUAUACUACUGUACUUCGAAAUUGGGCCC
rnacentral:pre_miRNA from 1 species